UACGGGGGGGGGCAAGCGUUGUUCGGAAUUACUGGGCGUAAAGGGCUCGUAGGCGGCCAACUAAGUCAGACGUGAAAUCCCUCGGCUUAACCGGGGAACUGCGUCUGAUACUGGAUGGCUAGAGGUUGGGAGAGGGAUGCGGAAUUCCAGGUGUAGCGGUGAAAUGCGUAGAUAUCUGGAGGAACACCGGUGGCGAAGGCGGCUUCCUGGACCGACACUGACGCUGAGGCGCGAAAGCUAGGGGAGCAAACGGG
rnacentral:rRNA from 1 species